rnacentral:rRNA from 1 species
GACGAACGCUGGCGGCGUGCCUAACACAUGCAAGUCGAACGGGGUAGAGAGCUUCGGUUUUCUACUUAGUGGCGAACGGGUGAGUAACGCGUGAGAAACCUGCCUUUCAGUGGGGGACAACAGUUGGAAACGACUGCUAAUACCGCAUAACAUGUAACUGGGGCAUCCUGGAUACAUCAAAGAUUUCAUCGCUGAAAGAUGGCUUCGCGUCUGAUUAGCUAGUUGGUGAGGUAACGGCCCACCAAGGCGACGAUCAGUAGCCGGACUGAGAGGUUGACCGGCCACAUUGGGACUGAGAUACGGCCCAGACUCCUACGGGAGGCAGCAGUGGGGAAUAUUGGGCAAUGGACGCAAGUCUGACCCAGCAACGCCGCGUGAAGGAAGAAGGCUUUCGGGUUGUAAACUUCUUUUAAGGGGGAAGAGUAGAAGACGGUACCCCUAGAAUAAGCCACGGCUAACUACGUGCCAGCAGCCGCGGU